UAGAGACAGGGUUUCACCGUGUUAUCUAGAAUGGUCUCGAUCUCCUGACCUCGUGAUCCGCCUGCCUCGGCCUCCCAAAGUGCUGGGAUUACAGGCGUGAGCCACCGCGCCCAGCCUAGGAGCUUUUCUUUUUAAAGUCCAAUGACUGAAAGAGUUUACCAAAAUGGCCUGGUGUCAUCCAGCUUCAUGAUGUGAAUGUCUUUAGAUCUACUACUCUAAGGAGCUGCCCAGAUGAGCUAUGUCCCCUGAGGAUUCUUCUAAUUGUUCUGUGGAAUGUGGAGAUGUCUGUGCAUUACGUGACUAUCUGAAAAUCAGCGAUUUCAGAAUGGUGACUCACAGAUCUGGGAUCGGGGAAAAGGAAAAAAUUGUGAGAAACUAAACAGACGUCACCUUUUUCAUAUUUUUGAGCUUGACUGGAAUCAAGAUUUCACAUGGCACCUCGAGGACAGGAUUAUUAAUAGCCUUUGUGUCAGCCUGAUGGUAAAGCUUUCUCUUUGAAUCCU
rnacentral:lncRNA from 1 species